UCGUUCCUGAUUGGCCAGAGCUCCUUUCGCGGCGCUCCUUCCCCAACGGCUAUUGGUAAGUAGUAAAAUUCACACCUUUUCUAUUUGGACUUACUUGCUCAGCUAAGUGGAGCUUUUCUUUCUUUGCUCUGAACACCAAUUAAGUAUAGUGAUCGUUAUCUCCCUUUGCAUAACAUCGGUUCUUCUUGCAACACAUGUUUUCAUCAAUGGGCAAUCGCUAUGUACAGAGAGCUAAAUAUCCAAUCAUAGUCAAGAACUCUCCAGCUGCUGCCGAGAGGAAUCUCUUCCCAACCUCCAGUGUGGUCGGUGAGGCGGAAUAGGGAACAAACGUGUCUGGAAUUGCAGCCUUAGCUUUAAUUCUCUUAAAAAUUAAAGCUAACCGGAAAAGAAGUAACAUAGACUUCCUGAUUGGUACACAAACACGCACACACAG